rnacentral:rRNA from 1 species
ACAUGCCUACAACAUAGUGUUAAUGCAUAGGAUCCCAUUAGAACUCCAUAGUUAAGCGCGCUCAGGCUAGAGUAGUACUGGGAUGGGUGACCUUACCAGGAAGUCCUAGUGUUUUACAUGCC